rnacentral:misc_RNA from 1 species
UUUUGUGUCAAAUGUGUACCUGCAGCUUUAUUCUGAAUGUGUGCCGCACUCUCACUUUGCAGUGAGCUAGAAGACUCUGCAGAGCGUGCACUAGCAGGGUUACUACGCACAGUUGAUGCUUUAGCAGAAGAAUUGGGGACUGAAUCCUUGGCUUCUGAUACUGUUUUCUUCACUGGAGCAUGAGAGAGCUUGGUCGACUGCAAUAUCUUCGAUGCUGAACCAACUGAUGACUUUGGGAGCUCUUUCAACAUUUUCUUUGGUCUUUCACGCCUCUCUUCAUCCCUACCAGCAUCCAUUGACGAACUCUCUCUUUUAUUACUCAGAUUGCUCCCAGAAAUUCCCCUCAGUUUACCAUUAGAAUCAUGAUGGUGAGCUUUCG